AGUGAACGCUGGCGGUAGGCCUAACACAUGCAAGUCGAACGGCAGCACAGUAAGAGCUUGCUCUUACGGGUGGCGAGUGGCGGACGGGUGAGGAAUACAUCGGAAUCUACUUUUUCGUGGGGGAUAACGUAGGGAAACUUACGCUAAUACCGCAUACGACCUACGGGUGAAAGCAGGGGAUCUUCGGACCUUGCGCGAUUGAAUGAGCCGAUGUCGGAUUAGCUAGUUGGCGGGGUAAAGGCCCACCAAGGCGACGAUCCGUAGCUGGUCUGAGAGGAUGAUCCGCCACACUGGAACUGAGACACGGUCCAGACUCCUACGGGAGGCAGCAGUGGGGAAUAUUGGACGAAGGGCGCAAGCCUGAUCCAGCCAUACCGCGUGGGUGAAGAAGGCCUUCGGGUUGUAAAGCCCUUUUGUUGGGAAAGAAAAGCAGCAGGUUAAUACCCCGCUGUUCUGACGGUACCCAAAGAAUAAGCACCGGCUAACUUCGUG
rnacentral:rRNA from 1 species